GUCUCCACACCUAGUUGAUUACUCGAUUGUUGUGGAGAUGCUGUGGAGGGAGCCAUAGCUCUAGUAACCAUUGAUCCUUAGGCACAGGGAACUAUCCUGGUGAGAUUGCAUAUACUUGUCCUUGAAUCCAAAGCAUUGAACCUUCUCUAGGGCACAAAGGGAGAUGUGUGUAUCCCUAUAACCCUCACUUUUGCUUAAUAAAAUCAAGCGCCUUGUGCAUAUCAU
rnacentral:lncRNA from 1 species